AAUCAUCGAGUCUUUGAACGCAAGUUGCGCCCGAGGCCCGUCCGAGGGCAUUCCUGCCUGAGCGUCAU
rnacentral:rRNA from 1 species